rnacentral:snRNA from 1 species
UUGCUUCAGCAGCACAUAUACUAAAAUUAGAAUGAUACAGAGAAGAUUAGCAUGGCCCCUGCACAAGGAUGAUGCACAAAUUUGUGAAGCAUUCCACAUUUUU